UGACUUUCUACGCAUCUCACAUAUAUCGAGAAGGAAAUCUUGUUGCGGACAAUUUUGCUAACAUGGGCUUGUCUUCUCCAUCUUUAACAUGGCAUGAUUCUCCUCCGAUGGCGGUUUAGACCUUCAUGUUUGGUUCUAGAGGGGUUAGGUUUCAUGUCCCCCCCUCUUUCUUUGUAUCAUUCUCAUUUUUUGUUUCUAGAAGGGUAAGGUUUAUGUCCCCCCUUCUUUCUAGUGUAUUCCUUUUUGUUAUCUCUGUUUUUUGGAGGGGUAAGGUUUAUGUCCCCCCCUGACUAGGUGUACCUUGUUUUUUCGUUAUCAAUAAAAUUACCCUCGUACCGU